rnacentral:rRNA from 1 species
GUUGAACGCUGGCGGCGUGCCUAAUACAUGCAAGUCGAGCGCAGCGGGGACGGGUGAGUAACAUGUGGAUAACCUCCUAUAUGACUGGGAUAACUUCGGGAAACCGGUGCUAAACCGGCUACUUAUAGAUGGAUUCGCGCUGCAUUAGCUAGUUGGUAGGGUAACGGGUUACCAAGGCAACGAUGCAUAGCCGACCUGUGAGGGUGAUCGGCCACACUGGGACUGAGACACGGUCCAGACUCCUACGGGAGGCAGCAGUAGGGAAGCUUGCGCAAUGGGCGAAAGCCUGACGGAGCAACGCCGCGUGAGUGAUGAAGGUCUUCGGAUCGUAAAACUCUGUUAUUAGAGAAGCGGUACCUGUUCAGAAAGCCACGGCUAACUACGUGCCAGCCGCCGCGGUAAUAC